CCCAGGUCAGGCGAGGCCACCC
rnacentral:rRNA from 2 species